AACAACUCCUGAACCUCCGGCUGAUGCAACAUCAAAGCCAGCCGAACAAUCAGAGGAGCCUCCUGCUGAAACAACUCUUGAGCCUCCUGCUGAUUCAACAUCAACUCCAGUCGAAGAAGCAUCAGAGGAGCAUGUUGAUGCUGGACCCCCCGCAGCAUCCACUGAUCAGGACAGUGCAGAUGUAUAAGCAAACCCUUAUCGCCAAAAGUUAUAAACAUUACAAAUGUAGUCAAUGUUACCAAGUUAGGAUUCCCAAGGAAAGAGAAACCCAGGGUCGGAGAAGCCAGGUAGAAACUUAUUCUCGCGCACCCCUAACUUUACUAGUGGCUCCGACAGAUCAGUCAUAGUCUUGUAGAAUAUUUAGAUCCUGACCUUCAACUUAAUACUCUCAUUCUUAUCUGUCUCUCCA
rnacentral:misc_RNA from 1 species